AACUCAUGUUGCUUCAGGAUGCACCACCUGUCUUAUUUCAAUGAUUUUGCUUGAGGAUCAACUAUUGCCGCCAAUCGCCAACAACAUCUGGAACUUUCUCAGGCUGGAGUCGCUGAGACCCUCCAUGUUCAAUUGCCGGAGGAGUUAAAAGAUAGUUUCUAGGGGGAUCUAUGCAGCAUAUAUCAGUUGAAGGGAGUCAGGAUCUAACAUAAGCCUGAGCAGUCAGUUGCUCGUAUUCCAGGCCAAAGGUUCUCAACACAUCUCAAGGGUUGAAUUUAAAAGCCAGCAGAGUACCGGUUCAACUAACCUGGUGGCUGCAGGUUUCUUUUUCCAUGCAGGGCUAGAAAUCCGUACAUCUCCCACACAUUUUGAUGUCAGAAGAAGUAGUGUCGGAGAUAAUAUCUCAUAGCUAUAUCAAGAAUCUUGUAACAUCUCGCUAUUUGAAACCUGAGCACUGCCCCGCUGAAUCUCAGCACGGCCCCUCUCAUAUGAUUGAGCAUUCUCUUCCCUAUAGAUAUCGCCUAG
rnacentral:sRNA from 2 species